UGGGGAAUAUUGCACAAUGGGCGCAAGCCUGAUGCAGCAACGCCGCGUGAACGAUGAAGGUCUUCGGAUCGUAAAGUUCUGUUGCAGGGGAAGAUAAUGACGGUACCCUGUGAGGAAGCCCCGGCUAACUACGUGCCAGCAGCCGCGGUAAUACGUAGGGGGCUAGCGUUAUCCGGAUUUACUGGGCGUAAAGGGUGCGUAGGUGGUCUUUCAAGUCGGUGGUUAAAGGCUACGGCUCAACCGUAGUUAGCCUCCGAAACUGGAAGACUUGAGUGCAGGAGAGGAAAGUGGAAUUCCCAGUGUAGCGGUGAAAUGCGUAGAUAUUGGGAGGAACACCAGUAGCGAAGGCGGCUUUCUGGACUGCAACUGACACUGAGGCACGAUAGCGUGGGUAGCAAACAGG
rnacentral:rRNA from 1 species